rnacentral:rRNA from 1 species
UACGUAGGGGCCGAGCGUUGUCCGGAUUCAUUGGGUCGUAAAGAGCUCGUAGGCGGUUCAGUCAGUCGGGUGUGAAAUCUCCGGGCUCAACUCGGAGGGGCCACCCGAUACUGCUGUGACUUGAGUCCGGUAGGGGAGUGGGGAAUUCCUGGUGUAGCGGUGAAAUGCGCAGAUAUCAGGAGGAACACCGGUGGCGAAGGCGCCACUCUGGGCCGGUACUGACGCUGAGGAGCGAAAGCGUGGGGAGCAAACAGG